CCGAAGAGUCAGGCUGAGUUUGUGACACAAAGUGCAUUCAGAAUUUUAAAAAGGAAACAACACAAACUCAAAUCCUUAUUCUUCCAGAAACUGUAAGCUCCCAAUACAGGAAACUCCUUGCUGUGUCUUUGACUGGAACCAGAAUGAGAAAACUCUGUCUCAUCUUCAACUUUCUAUGCACUCUAUUGGAAUGACACUAAAAGUGUUAUUACUGGCCAGCAUCCAGCAAAGAAGACACCCUCGACUUCAGAAGACCUUGAACCAUAGUGAAAAAUACAGCUGCAGGCCAAAUAGUGUUCUUUGGGUGAUAUUACCUUUCUAUAAAAGAAUUUCACCUCCAUCAAGAAUUUUCCUGUAAACCAGUGAGUUGCCAUCCUAGACAUAAAUUUCUUCUGGGAUCAAAUACUAUGUGCUCAUUAUCUCCAUACAAGGAAGAGGUAGUAUCUGCUUGAAACUUGUCCAUCUUUCUUAAUUGUACUAGCUGGUCUAAUGACUCUUGCAGAAAAGAAUAUUUUCUUUUGUAUGGGUCUCUGGGGCAUUAUUCUUCCUAAUUUAUUAACUAUAAAAGGGGGUUAUAAGAUCCACCCUAUCAAAAAGACCCCCAUCAUGAUUUUCUGUAAGUGAAUUACCUUCCCUGUGCCUCAUCUGGAAAUGUGAUGCCAAAGGAUGAGUCUAUGGGGACUACUGACAUAUCUGGAAGAGACAGUGGUAAUAUGAGGAGUUAGCUAAGAAGUCAGCUGGCUUGUGAGAUCCUGUGUCAACACACAGGUAGCUAGUAAAAACUCUGCUUAGGAGAAAUGUCAACAGAGCUGCAGCAUCCCGAAAACAUUUAAGAACCCAGUGUGUAC